rnacentral:rRNA from 1 species
UACAGAGGGUGCGAGCGUUGUCCGGAAUCACUGGGCUUAAAGCGUGUGUAGGCGGAUCGUUAAGUGUCUUGUGAAAUCCCACGGCUCACCCGUGGAACUGCUGGGCAUACUGGCGAUCUUGGGCCAACUAGGGGCAACUGGAACAAGCGGUGGAGCGGUGAAAUGCGUAGAUAUCGCUUGGAACGCCAAAGGUGAAAACAGGUUGCUGGGGUUGUGCCGACGCGUGAGACACGAAAGCCAGGGGAGCAAAACGGG